rnacentral:rRNA from 1 species
UUAAGUUAUUAAGGGCGCACGGUGGAUGCCUUGGCACUAGAAGCCGAUGAAGGACGUUACUAACGACGAUAUGCUUUGGGGAGCUGUAAGUAAGCUUUGAUCCAGAGAUUUCCGAAUGGGGAAACCCAGCAUGAGUUAUGUCAUGUUAUCGAUAUGUGAAUACAUAGCAUAUCAGAAGGCACACCCGGAGAACUGAAACAUCUUAGUACCCGGAGGAAGAGAAAGAAAAUUCGAUUCCCUUAGUAGCGGCGAGCGAAACGGGAAGAGCCCAAACCAACAAGCUUACUUGUUGGGGUUGUAGGACACUCUAUACGGAGUUACAAAGGACGACAUUAGACGAAUCAUCUGGAAAGAUGAAUCAAAGAAGGUAAUAAUCCUGUAGUCGAAAAUGUUGUCUCUCUUGAGUGGAUCCUGAGUACGACGGAGCACGUGAAAUUCCGUCGGAAUCUGGGAGGACCAUCUCCUAAGGCUAAAUACUCUCUAGUGACCGAUAGUGAACCAGUACCGUGAGGGAAAGGUGAAAAGCACCCCGGAAGGGGAGUGAAAUAGAACCUGAAACCGUGUGCUUACAAGUAGUCAGAGCCCGUUAAUGGGUGAUGGCGUGCCUUUUGUAGAAUGAACCGGCGAGUUACGAUUUGAUGCAAGGUUAAGCAGUAAAUGUGGAGCCGUAGCGAAAGCGAGUCUGAAUAGGGCGUUUAGUAUUUGGUCGUAGACCCGAAACCAGGUGAUCUACCCUUGGUCAGGUUGAAGUUCAGGUAACACUGAAUGGAGGACCGAACCGACUUACGUUGAAAAGUGAGCGGAUGAACUGAGGGUAGCGGAGAAAUUCCAAUCGAACCUGGAGAUAGCUGGUUCUCUCCGAAAUAGCUUUAGGGCUAGCCUCAAGUGAUGAUUAUUGGAGGUAGAGCACUGUUUGGACGAGGGGCCCCUCUCGGGUUACCGAAUUCAGACAAACUCCGAAUGCCAAUUAAUUUAACUUGGGAGUCAGAACAUGGGUGAUAAGGUCCGUGUUCGAAAGGGAAACAGCCCAGACCACCAGCUAAGGUCCCAAAAUAUAUGUUAAGUGGAAAAGGAUGUGGCGUUGCCCAGACAACUAGGAUGUUGGCUUAGAAGCAGCCAUCAUUUAAAGAGUGCGUAAUAGCUCACUAGUCGAGUGACACUGCGCCGAAAAUGUACCGGGGCUAAACAUAUUACCGAAGCUGUGGAUUGUCCUUUGGACAAUGGUAGGAGAGCGUUCUAAGGGCGUUGAAGCAUGAUCGUAAGGACAUGUGGAGCGCUUAGAAGUGAGAAUGCCGGUGUGAGUAGCGAAAGACGGGUGAGAAUCCCGUCCACCGAUUGACUAAGGUUUCCAGAGGAAGGCUCGUCCGCUCUGGGUUAGUCGGGUCCUAAGCUGAGGCCGACAGGCGUAGGCGAUGGAUAACAGGUUGAUAUUCCUGUACCACCUAUAAUCGUUUUAAUCGAUGGGGGGACGCAGUAGGAUAGGCGAAGCGUGCGAUUGGAUUGCACGUCUAAGCAGUAAGGCUGAGUAUUAGGCAAAUCCGGUACUCGUUAAGGCUGAGCUGUGAUGGGGAGAAGACAUUGUGUCUUCGAGUCGUUGAUUUCACACUGCCGAGAAAAGCCUCUAGAUAGAAAAUAGGUGCCCGUACCGCAAACCGACACAGGUAGUCAAGAUGAGAAUUCUAAGGUGAGCGAGCGAACUCUCGUUAAGGAACUCGGCAAAAUGACCCCGUAACUUCGGGAGAAGGGGUGCUCUUUAGGGUUAACGCCCAGAAGAGCCGCAGUGAAUAGGCCCAAGCGACUGUUUAUCAAAAACACAGGUCUCUGCUAAACCGUAAGGUGAUGUAUAGGGGCUGACGCCUGCCCGGUGCUGGAAGGUUAAGAGGAGUGGUUAGCUUCUGCGAAGCUACGAAUCGAAGCCCCAGUAAACGGCGGCCGUAACUAUAACGGUCCUAAGGUAGCGAAAUUCCUUGUCGGGUAAGUUCCGACCCGCACGAAAGGCGUAACGAUUUGGGCACUGUCUCAACGAGAGACUCGGUGAAAUCAUAGUACCUGUGAAGAUGCAGGUUACCCGCGACAGGACGGAAAGACCCCGUGGAGCUUUACUGUAGCCUGAUAUUGAAAUUCGGCACAGCUUGUACAGGAUAGGUAGGAGCCUUUGAAACGUGAGCGCUAGCUUACGUGGAGGCGCUGGUGGGAUACUACCCUAGCUGUGUUGGCUUUCUAACCCGCACCACUUAUCGUGGUGGGAGACAGUGUCAGGCGGGCAGUUUGACUGGGGCGGUCGCCUCCUAAAAGGUAACGGAGGCGCUCAAAGGUUCCCUCAGAAUGGUUGGAAAUCAUUCAUAGAGUGUAAAGGCAUAAGGGAGCUUGACUGCGAGACCUACAAGUCGAGCAGGGUCGAAAGACGGACUUAGUGAUCCGGUGGUUCCGCAUGGAAGGGCCAUCGCUCAACGGAUAAAAGCUACCCCGGGGAUAACAGGCUUAUCUCCCCCAAGAGUUCACAUCGACGGGGAGGUUUGGCACCUCGAUGUCGGCUCAUCGCAUCCUGGGGCUGUAGUCGGUCCCAAGGGUUGGGCUGUUCGCCCAUUAAAGCGGUACGCGAGCUGGGUUCAGAACGUCGUGAGACAGUUCGGUCCCUAUCCGUCGUGGGCGUAGGAAAUUUGAGAGGAGCUGUCCUUAGUACGAGAGGACCGGGAUGGACAUACCUCUGGUGUACCAGUUGUCGUGCCAACGGCAUAGCUGGGUAGCUAUGUGUGGACGGGAUAAGUGCUGAAAGCAUCUAAGCAUGAAGCCCCCCUCAAGAUGAGAUUUCCCAACUUCGGUUAUAAGAUCCCUCAAAGAUGAUGAGGUUAAUAGGUUCGAGGUGGAAGCAUGGUGACAUGUGGAGCUGACGAAUACUAAUCGAUCGAAGACUUAAUCAA